rnacentral:tRNA from 1 species
GGUCUUGUUGGCAUGAAAUAGUUUUGAAAACUAUUUAAGGACGUUCGAAUCGUCUAAAGGCUU